GUUCCCGUGACCUAGUGGAUAAGGCGUUGGACUACGAAUCCAAAGGUUGUGGCUUCAAGUUCCACCAGGAACA